GAGUGAUGAAUAGGAAGAUAACCAUCCACACUUUAGUAUCUAGGAGUUCCUGUUUCCAUCAGUUCCUGCCAAUAUCUUGUUUUUUUAAACUUUUGCCAGUUAGUCUGCUUGGAUUGCAAAGGAACUAAAGCACCCUCCUUGACCUUUUUCAUAGUUGGAAAUAAUCUUACAAGCCUUCCCAAAGAUAAUGUGCAGUGUUCUAGUAAUAAUGUUAAAUGAUUUGAAAAAUGAACUAUGAGAUGACAACCACAUGCUGCUACAUCACUGUUAAUAUUCAAUCAUUCCUGAUCUGAUAUGUAUUAGUGAAGACUGAGUGCAUGCAAGAACAGUCCUAGGUGUUGAGUAUUCAUGGGUGAAUCAGACAUACAUGCUGUCCCAAGGAGAUGAGAAGCUGGUUCUUUUACUGAGUCGCACCACCAACUGUGUGCUACAGAGUGGAUAAACAUGAGCUCUGUGUUCAAAGAGCUUAUAGACUGAGCUUGCUCUUCCAAGACUGAUGAAGCCAAGUUGUGCUUUCUUGUUCAAGACCAGCAGAAGAGGAAAAGCAUUCUCCAGGACUCUUGAGACGCUCUUAAAUCUGGUUGAGCUAUACCUUU